rnacentral:lncRNA from 1 species
UUCUUUUAGGGGGUUUAAUUAAAUAACAACCAAAAUAAAAUAAAAUAGUUAGUUAGUUAACACAAUAAAUAUAUACGUAAAUAAGAGUAAAGGAAGAAUAAGAUUCAAACUUGAGCUUUUUGCCCCAAUUCUAAAGCUGAUGCAAAUUUGGGCCAAAUCAGGCCUUUUCUUCUUUGUUGAGCCUGCUGUAUAUACAAAAUGUAUCACACUAUAUAUAGUCAUUUUUAAGCUGUAUAUCAGCCUAAUUUCUUCAACAUCUUGUACGUUCUCUCCUUUCUUUUCAGUAUUCUGCUGCGUUUACCCUUUAUUACAAUAUUUUGCCCCGUAUACCAGUGUAUACAACAGGUAUGCAUCACAUAUGUAGCCCCUUUUUUAGGCUUUAGGGACUUGAUAAGUCAACUUCCAGCCAUGUAUGCCUUUCUCGACACCUGUUCAUCAGUUUCAAGGGUCGGCCGACUCGAAGGAAAGGGUUGAAGCCUUCGUGUCUCUCACGAAAUGCGGGAAAAGGAAAAUAGGAGUUCAUGGUGAACUCAGGCAGACUUACAUGGAACAAAAGAAUGAGGAAAAGAAUUAGUAAACAAACAUAAUAGGAGCAAUAACGUAUCUAAAACCAUUUAUCGUAACAACAACUGAAUUAAUAUGCAGCAAAUAACUCGCUUCGACCAAACAGUGAAGAUCUAAUGGAGGAAUACAAAUUCUAAUGAUACUAACAACCCAAAUCAUACCAAUGACAAAAUAAUGACUACUUACAAUCAACAACAAACAUUAUACCCUCCAACGAAUUUAAUAAAAAAAUUGCCUAUUAACAAGUAGUACUAACUGUUAAGAGCAAAAUCAAUCAAAUUCAAUCAAUAUCAUAUGGAACACCAUGAUUGAGAGAGGACCAAUUUUGAAACCAAACACUACUCAAAUUGGAUAUGCUUUAUCACAUACAAUAGAGAAAAAACACACAAAGAGGAACUUCUAUGCGAAAAUCGAACAUUUGAACCAUGACAAGAAAAUAAAAUUGAAACAAAAGGAAGGAACAAGGAGGGAGCUGGCUAUUUUUCAAAUCAAGGGUCAAAACCAAAAAGACAUAGACAUCAUAUUAGGCUUUACGAGAAGUUCACAAGGACUCACAAUGUUAGUUAAACUUGAAACCUCACACCUAUGUAAAUAACCAAAAUCAACAAUAACAAACUAAAUGAAGCACAACUAAUACUUGCAGGUUUUUUAAACAACAGAAAGCCAAUUCAACACAAAAUUAAAUAAAUGAGGAAAAUAAAUAGAUAAACUUGAAUAGCGAAACACAUAAUCAACCUAACUGAAGCUAAAACGAAAAACUUUAAGCUCAAUAUUAAAACAAAACUCAAUGAUAAUCACAACCAUGACCACUGGUAACAACCCCACAACACUAGAAACACCAUGUCAAAAAUAAAGAAGAUGAAGGGAGUAUCAUGCCGGAGAAGGCGUUAUCUUUCUCUGGGCAGCUAAACUGAGACAACUGAAGAGCUUGGAGGGCAGCGACUUCCGACGACUCCGAGAGAUUACGAUUAACAACUACAUUCGGAAAAAGAGAACACAACCUAAACACUCACUGUUAAUAUUGGUGGACUUUUGGGUCUGUAUUUCACGGUAUACUUUACUUUUCUUGAAUCCAAAUUUUCCAACUAAAAAUUUCUAACUUUUCUUCCCAAUCCCCAAACAAUGAAGAAGGAGGGGAUAUUUAUAAGGGGAGAUAUAAGGCAGAAAGAGGGGGAAACCGAUUGAAUUUCGAAUUCUCUUCAAGGGAUAAGGCUGCCAGCUCGAAUGAGUACAAGUCUCAAAAAGAAUAAUGAUGAAGUUGCUUGAUUCUCGAGCAAGGAGGAGUGAGAUGCAAAGAUGGAGACACCUCAGGAUUUGAGUACAAGUAGAUAAGGACAAUAGGAGAGGGAUGCGGAGCUGGGUUUGAGAUACUGGUUCGCGAUUCGUGUCGCGAUUUUCUAGGUUUCUUUGGGUUAACUGUUGGAGGAGAAAUAGAACGCGUAGGUUCUGGGCUCGGG